GGGGAGGGGAAGAAGAGUUGAUUGAGUCUGUGAGAAGCUGCCACAGGGAGGUUACAGUCAGGAGAGCCAAGAGCUGCUUUACACGCGGUAUAAAAACUUCAGUUAAGAUUUGAGCUGUCACUUGAGAAAGCAUCAUGCCAAAAACUAAGGAAAUCACUGUAGACUUGAAGAAUUGUCGAUGCUCAGGAAGCAGGAGAAGGAUAUACAAAGUUAUAACAGUAUUUCCAAGCGUCAAGAACUCAAAUGAGAAACGUCACCGAGAAAUUCAAGGAGAGCCACACUGUGCAGAACAAGCCUGGCAGAGGUAGGAAGCCAAAGAUUUCAAUGACCCUGGAAAGAAAACCAGUGAGAGACCUGUCUAAAGAACCCAUAAACGCUGCCAAGACACUAGUGAAUGACUUAGUUAAGUCUGAAAUUGUAGCCUCAAAGAAGAUUACAUGAAUUCAUGUAAUCUUACCAUAUGUCUCCCCUUGACCAAAGCUGAGCGUGGAUUGAUGCUGUCUUUACA